GGACCUGACUGCUAUCGGAUUGAUACUAAGCCAUGCGAGUCAUUGUAGCAAUACAAGGCAUACGGCUCAGUAACGCGUAGUCAACCUAACCUAUGGACGGGAAUAACCUCGGGAAACUGAGAAUAAUGCCCGAUAGAACAUUAUGCCUGGAAUGGUUUAUGUUCCAAAUGAUUUAUCGCCGUAGGAUGGGACUGCGGCCUAUCAGUUUGUUGGUGAGGUAAUGGCCCACCAAGACUAUUACAGGUACGGGCUCUGAGAGGAGUAGCCCGGAGAUGGGUACUGAGACACGGACCCAGGCCCUAUGGGGCGCAGCAGGCGAGAAAACUUUGCAAUGUGCGAAAGCACGACGAAGGUUAAUCCGAGUGGUUUCUGCUAAAGAAACCUUUUGUCGAGUCCUAGAAACACUGAUGAAUAAGGGGUGGGCGAAGUUCUGGUGUCAGCG
rnacentral:rRNA from 1 species